rnacentral:rRNA from 1 species
AACGAACGCUGGCGGCAUGCCUAACACAUGCAAGUCGAACGAGACCUUCGGGUCUAGUGGCGCACGGGUGCGUAACGCGUGGGAACCUGCCCUUAGGUUCGGAAUAACUCCCCGAAAGGGGUGCUAAUACCGGAUAAUGUCUUCGGACCAAAGAUUUAUCGCCUUUGGAUGGGCCCGCGUUGGAUUAGCUAGUUGGUAGGGUAAAAGCCUACCAAGGCGACGAUCCAUAGCUGGUCUGAGAGGAUGAUCAGCCACACUGGGACUGAGACACGGCCCAGACUCCUACGGGAGGCAGCAGUGGGGAAUAUUGGACAAUGGGCGAAAGCCUGAUCCAGCAAUGCCGCGUGAGUGAUGAAGGCCUUAGGGUUGUAAAGCUCUUUUACCCGGGAUGAUAAUGACAGUACCGGGAGAUUAAGCUCCGGCUAACUCCG